AGCGAACGCUGGCGGCAGGCUUAACACAUGCAAGUCGAACGGGCCUCUCCGGAAGACAGUGGCAGACGGGCGUGUAACACGUGGGAACGUGCCCUUCGGCUCGGUAUAACCCAGGGAAACUUGAGCUAAUACCGGAUACGCCCCUUUGGGGAAAGGUUUACUGCCGAAGGAUCGGCCCGCGUCUGAUUAGCUUGUUGGUGGGGUAACGGCCUACCAAGGCGACGAUCAGUAGCUGGUCUGAGAGGAUGAUCAGCCACACUGGGACUGAGACACGGCCCAGACUCCUACGGGAGGCAGCAGUGGGGAAUAUUGGACAAUGGGCGCAAGCCUGAUCCAGCAAUGCCGCGUGAGUGAUGAAGGCCUUAGGGUUGUAAAGCUCUUUUGCCCGGGACGAUAAUGACAGUACCGGAAGAAUAGGCCCCGGCUAACUUCGUG
rnacentral:rRNA from 1 species